CAGUAACGGCGAGUGAAGCGGUAACAGCUCAAAUUUGAAAUCUGGGCCUUUCAGGCUCCGAGUUGUAAUUUGUAGAAGAUGCUUCGGGUGCGGCUCCGGUCUAAGUUCCUUGGAACAGGACGUCAUAGAGGGUGAGAAUCCCGUAUGUGAUCGGCUGCUUGCGCCCAUGUGAAGCUCUUUCGACGAGUCGAGUUGUUUGGGAAUGCAGCUCAAAAUGGGUGGUAAAUUUCAUCUAAAGCUAAAUAUUGGCCAGAGACCGAUAGCGCACAAGUAGAGUGAUCGAAAGAUGAAAAGCACUUUGGAAAGAGAGUUAAACAGUACGUGAAAUUGUUGAAAGGGAAGCGCUUGCAACCAGACUUGCGCGUUGCCGAUCAUCCGGGGUUCUCCCCGGUGCACUCGGCCUCGCUCAGGCCAGCAUCGGUUUCGGUGGUGGGAUAAAGGCCCCAGGAAUGUGGCUCCUCUCGGGGAGUGUUAUAGCCUGGGGUGCAAUGCCGCCUACCGGGACCGAGGACCGCGCU
rnacentral:rRNA from 1 species